UACGGGGGGGGCAAGCGUUAUUCGGAAUCACUGGGCUUAAAGGGCGCGUAGGCGGGCCGCCAGGUCCGGGGUGAAAGCCUCCAGCUCAACUGGAGAAGUGCCUUGGAUACCGGCGGCCUCGAGGGAGGUAGGGGCGUGCGGAACUUCGGGUGGAGCGGUGAAAUGCGUAGAUAUCCGAAGGAACACCGGUGGCGAAAGCGGCGCGCUGGAUCUCUUCUGACGCUGAGGCGCGAAAGCCAGGGGAGCAAACGGG
rnacentral:rRNA from 1 species